AGGAACAAGAAGGAGAAAAGAACUCCCCUCAUCUUCACAAAGUUAGCAAAUUGAAGCCCUAAUUAUGGCCAUAACCCUUGCAUGUUAAUGGAUUCUUGAUCAUCUAGUUCUAACAAAGCUCAAGGAAUUAAGGAGGAAAGCUCAAGCCGUUCCGAGUCUCAAACGAAGAACGAUAAAGGAAUUAAGGAGGAAAGCUCAAGCCGUUCCGAGUCUCAAACGAAGAACGAUAAAGGUAAAAUGACAUGAUGGAUGGUGCUACUUGGAUCGAACACAUUUAUGAUGCACGCUUCCGCGAAGUCUCUAGUCAUGGUCUAAACUUUUGUUAAAUGUUCUCUUUCGUUAAAAACGGGUCUUUUGUAUGAAAGUUAACUCGGAAGUAGUUAGA